GCUUGUUUCUAUCAUGUAGACUGAAAGUGAUUUAAUUAAAAAAGUAAAUUUGAUGUAAUUAAGUUCCUUCAAAACAGGAAAAGGAAAUGGAUUCAAAAAUUCAAAAUGCUGAAUAACGGUCCAAAGUUCAGUAGAAGAAAUCUCAGUGGAGGGAACAUCGGCUGGCAUGGCGUCUUUUCAGUAGCACUAAUAAAGACCUUCAAAGUGAAAAGAUUGAUUCCCGUGGUGAUUCACCGUGGACCCACUACACUUGAUGUAUGUACAGCUGGACGUGGAACGUAAUGAUGCAGAGGCUGGACGAGAAGACAUUAUUAAAGGAGCGUGUGUUUACAUGGAUGAAGAUCCAGAAAACCUGGUCCAGGAAUAUGUGGUAUGUAUAUAUUUGCACGUGAAUCAUAGCUUAAUUUUCUCUUUCUUUGUUGUUUAUUUAAGAUUUUUUUUCAA